UACGGGAGGCAGCAGUGGGGAAUCUUGGACAAUGGGCGAAAGCCUGAUGCAGCGACGCCGCGUGAGCGAAGAAGGCCUUCGGGUCGUAAAGCUCUGUCCUAUGGGACGAUAAUGACGGUACCAUAGGAGGAAGCCCCGGCUAACUACGUGCCAGCAGCCGCGGUAAU
rnacentral:rRNA from 1 species